GUUCUUAUAGUUGAAUACAACGGUGGUUUUUCAAGUCAUUGGUCUAAGUUAGAGUCUUAGUGAGAAUA
rnacentral:tRNA from 1 species